UGUUUCGGCUAGGGGGCCAUCCCGGCUUACCAACCCGAUGCAAACUGCGAAUACCGGAGAAUGUUAUCACGGGAGACACACGGCGGGUGCUAACGUCCGUCGUGAAGAGGGAAACAACCCAGACCGCCAGCUAAGGUCCCAAAGUCAUGGUUAAGUGGGAAACGAUGUGGGAAGGCCCAGACAGCCAGGAUGUUGGCUUAGAAGCAGCCAUCAUUUAAAGAAAGCGUAAUAGCUCACUGGUCGAGUCGGCCUGCGCGGAAGAUGUAACGGGGCUAAACCAUGCACCGAAGCUGCGGCAGCGAACGUAUCACUUAAAGCGAUUCAGCGGGUUACGAUUGACGGAGCGAAGCGACGUCAAAGCGUAUACAAAGUCGAGUCGGUUUAAGGAUACGUUCGUUGGGUAGGGGAGCGUUCUGUAAGCCUGUGA
rnacentral:rRNA from 1 species